GGCACGGUAGCUCAAUCGGCAGAGCCCCCUGAAGGGGAGGUUCCGGGUUCGAAUCCCGGCCGUGCGCG
rnacentral:tRNA from 1 species